ACUAUUCAUAAACAUGGAUAAGUUUGUUAAAACGUGUUUUCACCAAUCUACACGUUAAAUGAAUACAGAUGUUAAGAAACUUAGUUUGAUGUUUUGUGGUCACCUAUAGUCACAACUGUGAAUUUGGAAAACAAACACUGGGUUUAACCUGCAACUAUGAUCAACAAUAUUUUGUUUAGCUUACAGGCGAUAAAAUAAACGUGGUUUCACCUUCGUUGUUCAUCAUACACGAUUUCAUGCAACAACAGAGGGAUUUCUACAGUAUCCACUUCCACAGGCACAAAGGAGAAGUUUGCCCUAAACGUGGACUUCCAGGCUGCAUCCCGCCCCCCCUCGAUCAAAGCCAAUCAAAUGACAGCAUCGUCAAACAGCUCCGCCUUCAAACCAAUGAGGUCGCGGAAUCACGGCGCCACGCUGGGAUUCAAAAUUUCAGCCGGUUCAGCCUCGGUCGGACAGUCCAGCAUGUUUGGCUGAUGUGAAAGGUGCCAUGUUGAAAGGUUGAUAUAGAAAUAUCUCACAGGCUAUUCAGAAGACUGAUGUAUGAGGUGCUAUGCUGAAAGGCUCAUAGGAAAUAUUGCCACGUCACAGGCUGAUUAGAAGUGAUGGAGGCAAACGGGAUUGCAGCAGUGGAGAACUCUCUUCGAAAAGAAGCAAAUCCUAACAUAAAGAGGACAAUUCAAAUACUGUCUGGAGAGAGUCAAGAUGCCUUUAUGUCAUCACAACUGCACUACCUUGAAGAAAAUGGGCUUGGCAAAUUUGUGGGCAUGAAGAAAAGGCAUGACAGUCAGUUUCAAUGGCGAUGUGAAAGAGCCAGUCACUGCAAGGGGAAGUCUACUGGAGACCCCCAAAAAACAAGAGGCCAACAGUUGUGGGGCCUUUGUAUCUUUCACAUUUGUAAGCAAAAACUGUUAUAAAGGGUGUAUUAUACGACUGAUGAGCCACCACUCUGGACAUGAUCCUAACAGUCCCUUGAUGAUAUUACUUUUGUAAGGAAAAGCUAUAAUGCACACAGUCGCAUGGAUUCAAAUAACUGUUAGUGUGGACCGAUUAAGCAGGUACUCAUCAUUGUUUUUAGCACACCUUGGCAGAGAGAUCAACUGAAGAAAUAUGGGUCUGACAUGAUAUACCUUGACAUUCAACAUACAAGGGUAUAACUCAGUAUGGAUUUGCAUUUUAUGCUGUCAUCAUUAAGUCUCCUCAAGGUCAUGGAGUCCCAGUGUCCUUUAUUUUAAGCAAGGAAUCUGCAGAGAACCUAAGCAUGUCUUCAAAAGCCGCAAGUCUGCCAGUCCCUUUCAUCCAAGGUAAUACUAAAUGGUCCAAUAAUGGGGUACAUUACUUAUGAAUAAGAAGACCAUAUUUUUGCUUUUAAAUGUAUAAUUACCAUGGUAUGUAAUAUAUUCUGAUGGUUAUACUUGAAUACUGCAGGGGUAUUUCACAAAUCAGGAUUACUGGAUAACACCACAGUGACAGUUUUAACUCAAGUAUUCCUUCUGUCUUUGGUGAAUUUUCAGGUUUCAUUUGGCUCAGUUAUCUUGUUCUUAUUCCUGCACUUGCUAUGUGAAAUACACUUAAAUAGGAAUUCCACAAUUUUUCUGCAAAAUGAAAUCACAGAGACACACUUUUGGUGUGUUUUGAUGUGAAACUGCAUUGUAGAGAAUGCCAAUACUGAUGCACAAGACACUAUACUCCAAGGCUGAUGGUAAAGACCAUCACCUCUCUGGCUGAGAAGAAGGCCAAUGGUCAUUUCACACUGUUGCAUCUUUAAUAAUACUCAGUCAUGUACUUUGAGGCUGAUAUUAAAGGCAUAAUCCGUACUUAAAGGCUUAUAGGGCUGCCACCUCCCAGGCUGAUAAAAUAGACAAGACUUCAUGUAGUUGCUUUGAUAAAAUUAUGUGUCUUCAGGGCUGACUUAAAAGGCACAAUUUUAAAUGCUGAUAGGAAAGACGCCCACCUCCCAGGCUAAUUAAAAGGUCAACAAUAAUUUCACAUUGUAGCCUCUUUUGCACUCAUAAAAUGUACUUUCACAUCAAACCACAUGAAAUCAUUUGAUUUUACAUCUUAUUCAAUUAUGCUGAAAUUUUGGAAAAUCUAUUAAAGUCUCCUUUAAGUAA